GCAGAUAUGGCCGAGUGGUUAAGGCGACUGCCUCGAAAUCAGUUUCCAUCUUGGAGCGUAGGUUCGAAUCCUACUAUCUGCG
rnacentral:tRNA from 1 species